rnacentral:lncRNA from 10 species
GCUCCAGCCUUGGCCAGCCCAGAAAGGGAAUCCCACAGUGCAGUGGGGGGCUGAAGGGCUCCUCAAAUGCCACCAAAGUGGGAGCCCAGGCAGGGGAGGUGCCGAGAGAGCAAGCGAGGGCUCUGAGGACUGCCAGCACGCUGUCACCUCUCAAUUUUACAAGCAACUUACUUCUCCAAGACCAGGUGGAUAUGAUUCAUGCUCUGAAACUAUGUAUGUCCAUCUACUUCAAACUGAAGCUGUCAUUUAAUUUGCAUUCCAUCAAUUGAAUCAGAUAAUAGGCUCUAUUGUAGCCUGUAAAACUGACAAUGUCUCCUUUCUUCAAGUCGCAUUGACGUAAGAAGAGUUGUAUUUUUAUAGAAAGAAAAUAUUUUGCCUAAUCGCCUUCAAAGGAGCCUUGUACACAAUCUCUAGGUGAGGAAUGACUUUGUAAUCCGAGGCAUAAGGUAAUUGUAAAUGAUAAGUCACCUAUUAUCUAUUAGAGUUCAGAAUGACUCAAAAGUUAAAGUGAUUCAUGUGUUUUGCUGAUGGAUAAGAAAGAUGUUUUGAAAAAUAGGAAAUAGGCUCUUUCCUAGAAUACCUAUAAUAUACUUAAACAUGUAAUGCACAUACAUAAUGUAUAUCAUUAUGAGAUGAAUUGUGUCUCACAAAAUUCAUAACUUAAAGCUGUAACCCGCAGUACUUUGAAUGUGACUGUAUUCAGAGAAAGAACGUUCACAGAGGUGAGUUACUAUGAGGGUGUAGGGUGGGCCCUAAUUCAGACUAGUGUUCUUAUAGAGGAGAGUGUGCACAGAGGAGAGAUCAUGUGAGGACACAGCGAGAAGACAAUCAUCUGUAAGCCAAGGAGAGAGGCCUCAGAAAAAAAUCCACCCUGCUAAGAGCUUGAUCUUGGACUUACAGCCUCCAGGACUAACAAGAACCUGAGACCUGCCGAACAGCAGGUGCCAAAGAUGCUGCUGUAACACCACAGCCCUCCCAUCUUCCAUCCUCCACUGGCGCUGAGUGGCAGUCCCAUGUGACAGGAAGUGGAGGCAGAGCUGGGCCAGCCCAGGAGCCACGUGCUGGAGCCAGAUACUCUGUUUUUCUACAAAUGGAAAGUUUGUGGCAUCCUUGACUCAAGCAAAUUUUUCAGCACCAUUUUUCAAGAGCGUGUGCUCACUUCACCUCUCUGUAUCGUGUUUUGAUGCUUGUCCUGGAAACCAACCAUGAGCUGUGAUGAAAUCCAGGCAACUGAGUUGUGUUUCAGCCCAAAGCAGCAAAUGGAAUCCAGCUUCAGGACCAUCAUCUGACAUAGGGGAAGAAGACUUACAUAGAAGGCCUAACCAGCACCCAAGAUCAUGGCUGGUGUCAGAGAAGGCUGAAUUGGGUACCAAGACAUUCCUUCUCUCCAGGUGGUAACAAGGACCCUCACAUGGUAUUAAUGAAGACCAAAUGUUUGAAUUUCUGCUUGACUUCUUCAAUUGUGAAAUCUGGAUCUAUGCAGAUUUGCUGCUUGUUGAACCUCUCAAAUACUGAAGGGAAGUUUCCUGGCGGUCUCUCGUCAUAUGCUGUUUACUAAAGGAAUAGUUUCCGAUCUGCUGUAAGAAGUACUAUGCUGUCCAUUUGUUCCAGGACCUUAUCCUCUGCAGGUUUAAUGCGCGUCCGUGUGAAGAGACCUGUCAAUA